rnacentral:lncRNA from 1 species
ACACUCGUAACUCAACAACCUUGACUAUGACCAACAUUUAACCCCCAUUGGCGGGGUCCACAUGAUACCAGCGCACAACCCCCACUGGCAGGGUCCACAAAUACCAGCGCACAACCCCCACUGGCAGGGUCCACAAACAUAGUUAGGCUAAGAGCAUAAAUCCGAUCUGUAUCAAAAUACUUUGUACCAUAAUAUAUCAUAAUCUUUCACUAAACAUGUGCAUAAAUCGAUAUACCAUAACAUUUCAAAAGCACUUUUCUUUCAAAAUAUAAUUUCAUAAAUCUUGCAUAAUUUCAGAGAAUAAUUAUUUAUUUUCAGAAUAAAUAUGAAAUAUCUCGAGAAGAUGAUUCAUUACUUACUUUUCACGGAGCACUGAAUGAACA